rnacentral:rRNA from 1 species
CCUACGGGAGGCAGCAGUGAGGAAUAUUGGUCAAUGGGCGGGAGCCUGAACCAGCCAAGCCGCGUGAAGGAAGAAGGCGCCAAGCGUCGUAAACUUCUUUUGUCGGGGAACAAAGGGCGCCACGUGUGGCGUUGUGAGCGUACCCGAAGAAAAAGCAUCGGCUAACUCCGUGCCAACAGCCGCGGUAUUACGGAGGAUGCGAGCGUUAUCCGGAUCUAUGGGGGUUAAGGGGUGCGUAGGUGGUCCGGAAAGUCAGCGGUAAAAGCCCGGGGCUCAACCCCGUCGAGCCGUUGAAAGUGUCGGACUAGAGACGGCGAGAAGUACGCGGAAUGCGCGGUGGAGCGGUGAAAGGCAUAGAUAUCGCGCAGAA